rnacentral:rRNA from 1 species
CUGCUGCCUCCCGUAGGAGUUUGGGCCGUGUCUCAGUCCCAAUGUGGCCGUCCACCCUCUCAGGCCGGCUACUGAUCGUCGCCUUGGUGGGCCGUUACCCCGCCAACAAGCUAAUCAGACGCGGGUCCAUCUUACACCACCGGAGUUUUUCACACAAAUCC